CCUACGGGGUGCAGCAGUGAGGAAUAUUGGUCAAUGGGCGCGAGCCUGAACCAGCCAAGUAGCGUGAAGGAUGACUGCCCUACGGGUUGUAAACUUCUUUUAUAAAGGAAUAAAGUGAGGCACGUGUGCCUUUUUGUAUGUACUUUAUGAAUAAGGAUAGGCUAACUCCGUGCCAUCAGCCGCGGUAAUACGGAGGAUCCGAGCGUUAUCCGGAUUUAUUGGGUUUAAAGGGAGCGUAAAUGGGUUGUUAAGUCAGUUGUGAAAGUUUGCGGCUCAACCGUAAAAUUGCAAUUGAUACUGGCAGUCUUGAGUACAGUUGAGGUAGGCGGAAUUCGUGGUGUAGCGGUGAAAUGCUUAGAUAUCACGAAGAACUCCGAUUGCGAAGGCAGCUUACUAAACUGCCACUGACAUUGAUGCUCGAAAGUGUGGGUAUCAAACAGGAUUAGAUACCCGGGUAGUC
rnacentral:rRNA from 1 species